CGUAACAAGGUUUCCGUAGGUGAACCUGCGGAAGGAUCAUUAUUGAAAUAGCACGACGGGAAGCUGUUGCUGGCCCUAGUGGCCGUGCACGCUUUCUGUCCUUCAUUUCUCAUCUAUUUGUGCACCUCUUGCGUAGACCCCUCUAUUAGGACUGCUUUGCAAAAUUGAUUGUGGGCUUUCCUUGUUUCUACGUCGUCAUAUACACCAGUGUAACGAUUUGGAAUGAAUGGAAUUUUGAUGCAAUAUAUAAAGCACAACUUUCAGCAACGGAUCUCUUGGCUCUCGCAUCGAUGAAGAACGCAGCGAAAUGCGAUAAGUAAUGUGAAUUGCAGAAUUCAGUGAAUCAUCGAAUCUUUGAACGCAUCUUGCGCUCCUUGGUAUUCCUAGGAGCAUGCCUGUUUGAGUGUCAUAAAUAUCUCAACCGCACCCUAUGGUGGUGUGGCUUGGAUUUGGGGGUGGCAGGCUUAGUCUGCUCCCCUGAAAUACAUUGGCGGUGCCCGACGUGAUGUGAUAAAUUAUCCGCAUCUGUUUAUGAGCUGCCGUGUCGUGUUGGAGUUGAUAAACUUGACCUCAAAUCAGGUAGGACCACCCGCUGAACUUAAGCAUAUCAAUAAGCGGAGGAAAAGAAACUAACCAGGAUUCCCUUAGUAACUGCGAGUGAAGUGGGAAGAGCUCAAAUUUGUAAUCUGGUGGCCCUUGGCCAUCCGAGUUGUAAUCUAAAGAA
rnacentral:misc_RNA from 1 species